rnacentral:rRNA from 1 species
CUGCUCCAGAAUAGCUCUUGGAAACGGGUGGUAAUGCUGGAUGCUCCAACUUGACGCAUGUCUUGUUGGGAAAGUGUUUAGUGGCAUGGGAUGGGGUCGCGUCCUAUCAGCUUGUAGGCGGGGUAAUGGCCCACCUAGGCUUCGACGGGUAGCCGGCCUGAGAGGGCGGACGGCCACAUUGGGACUGAGAUACGGCCCAGACUCCUACGGGAGGCAGCAGCG